UAGGGUCCCUGAGUGACAGGGGUCCAAAAUCUCUAGCAGUACCCCUGCAUGUAAGAAUAAUAUGUCCAUGUAUUUAAUUUCCAGUAAGAACUUCUACACUUCAAAACUUCCCUUAUUCACAUCUGUGCCGAUCACAUUCCUGUACACAGUUCUGUUACAAUAAAUGUUAUGCUUGUUGAAUAUACCUUUUAUGACCACCACAUUGUUGGUAAAGGAAACCUCAAACGUGACAAUCAAUUACCAUGUUUUAUAUGCCUUAAGUUUUUCUAUUGCUUCUGUGGUUGCAAAAUCAAUGAGUGUGUAAGACAAAUCUUAUCUAUGAAAUAAACUAAUGGUCAGACGACCUUAAGCAUGACAAGGAUGGAGUAACAGAUCUGUGAGCACCCUGUUUUGAGAUGCCAUCAUUACAGCACAGAGGGAGGAGAGGACAUUGGUCUGUUGUUGUUGCUAGGAAACAUAUUAAGGAGAAGGGUGAUGUUGGAGCUGUAGUUGCUGAAGAGCAAGGAGAUACCAAGGAAUGGAUUCAUACAUCUGAGGUUAUUUGAUGAUAAAAACCAGAAGAGUUUCAGUGAUACUUCAUAUCUGAACCACUGUAUGUCAUCCAACAUAAAGACUACAAAUCCAGGACUGCAGCACUGCCCAGCCUUUAUCACACUCUGCAUUUCUGCGACCUAAUCUCCUGCUUUUUACUCCAUGGCACGGUUACCAUAUGCAUCUGGAGUAAUAUAUCUCAUAAAAUAUUUCUGUUACUAAAGAAGUAUAUGAACAUGAUUUGAGAAUAUAAUUUUAUUUGCACCUAUCAGCAACAUGUAUGAUCCAUCCUUCCAUCCAUCAUCCAUCCAUCCCUCCCUCCCUCCAUCCAUCCAUCCAUCCAUCCAUUUUCUAUGACCAUUUGUCCUAGUCAAGGUUGUGGGGGGUCCAGAGCCGGUCCUGGAGGCUACAGGCACAAGGCAGUGAACAAUCCAUGAUGUAGCGCCAACCCGUCACACGGCACACUCACCAUUCAAACCUACAGGCCAUUUGAGUUCUGCCAGGAAUCGGCCAUCGACCAGCAGGCUGAGAUCAGCACCAUGGAAAUAAAAGAUUUAAGCCUCCGCUGGGGAGAAGGUCAAGGCAGAAGAAGUGGCUUAUAUCCUCCCUGCCCUCAGCCCUGGACAACUGGGAGGAUAACUGCCUCAAGGGUUCUGCUGCCUCCUGACCAGCUCAUAUGUGAUGGUACUCAAUUCGCUUAAAUUUUUUAUUAAACUGUCGCCUGGGGUAAUACCUAGUAUUGGAAAUCUCUGGUUCUGUGUCCAGAUGGAGAGAAUGAAUUAAGUGGUUUUGAACAAAGCUAAUCCUCAUAUGCUAUCCUCCAUGUCUGCCUGACCCUCCUGUUUCCUACCUGGUAUGGCCCUAAGAAGC